AUUGAACGCUGGCGGCAUGCUUUACACAUGCAAGUCGAACGGUAACAGGCCGCAAGGUGCUGACGAGUGGCGAACGGGUGAGUAAUGCAUCGGAACGUGCCCAGUCGUGGGGGAUAACUACUCGAAAGAGUAGCUAAUACCGCAUACGAUCUAUGGAUGAAAGCGGGGGACCGUAAGGCCUCGCGCGAUUGGAGCGGCCGAUGUCAGAUUAGGUAGUUGGUGGGGUAAAGGCUCACCAAGCCAACGAUCUGUAGCUGGUCUGAGAGGACGACCAGCCACACUGGGACUGAGACACGGCCCCGACUCCUACGGGAGGCAGCAGUGGGGAAUUUUGGACAAUGGGGGGAAGCCUGGUCCAGCAAUGCCGCGUGCAGGAAGAAGGCCUUCGGGUUUUAAACUGCUUUUGUACGGAACGAAACGGCUCUGGUUAAUACCCGGGGCUAAUGACGGUACCGUAAGAAUAAGCACCGGCUAACUACGUG
rnacentral:rRNA from 1 species